rnacentral:rRNA from 1 species
CAAUAAGCGGAGGAAAAGAAACCAACAGGGAUUGCCCCAGUAACGGCGAGUGAAGCGGCAACAGCUCAAAUUUGAAAUCUGGCCUCGGCCCGAGUUGUAAUUUGCAGAGGAUGCUUCUGGCGCGGCGCCUUCCGAGUUCCCUGGAACGGGACGCCACAGAGGGUGAGAGCCCCGUAUGGUCGGACGCCAAGCCAGUGUGAAGCUCCUUCGAAGAGUCGAGUAGUUUGGGAAUGCUGCUCUAAGCGGGAGGUAUACGUCUUCUAAAGCUAAAUACCGGCCAGAGACCGAUAGCGCACAAGUAGAGUGAUCGAAAGAUGAAAAGCACCUUGAAAAGGGGGUUAAACAGUACGUGAAAUUGUUGAAAGGGAAGCGCCUGUGACCAGACUUGCGCCGGGCGGAUCAUCCAGCGUUCUCGCUGGUGCGCUCCGCCCGGCUCAGGCCAGCAUCGGUUCUGGCGGGGGGAUAAAGGCGGCGGGAACGUGGCUCCCCCGGGAGUGUUAUAGCCCGCCGUGCAAUGCCCCCGCCGGGACCGAGG